rnacentral:rRNA from 1 species
CGAUCGGUAGCCGGACUGAGAGGUUGAACGGCCACAUUGGGACUGAGACACGGCCCAGACUCCUACGGGAGGCAGCAGUGGGGAAUAUUGCACAAUGGGGGAAACCCUGAUGCAGCGACGCCGCGUGGAGGAAGAAGGUCUUCGGAUUGUAAACUCCUGUUGUUGAGGAAGAUAAUGACGGUACUCAACAAGGAAGUGACGGCUAACUACGUGCCAGCAGCCGCGGUAAAACGUAGGUCACAAGCGUUGUCCGGAAUUACUGGGUGUAAAGGGAGCGCAGGCGGGAAGACAAGUUGGAAGUGAAAUCUAUGGGCUCAACCCAUAAACUGCUUUCAAAACUGUUUUUCUUGAGUAGUGCAGAGGUAGGCGGAAUUCCCGGUGUAGCGGUGGAAUGCGUAGAUAUCGGGAGGAACACCAGUGGCGAAGGCGGCCUACUGGGCACCAACUGACGCUGAGGCUCGAAAGUGUGGGUAGCAAACAGGAUUAGAUACCCUGGUAGUCCACACCGUAAACGAUGAUUACUAGGUGUUGGAGGAUUGACCCCUUCAGUGCCGCAGUUAACACAAUAAGUAAUCCACCUGGGGAGUACGACCGCAAGGUUGAAACUCAAAGGAAUUGACGGGGGCCCGCACAAGCAGUGGAGUAUGUGGUUUAAUUCGACGCAACGCGAAGAACCUUACCAAGUCUUGACAUCCCUUGACAGACAUAGAAAUAUGUAAUCUCUUCGGAGCAAGGAGACAGGUGGUGCAUGGUUGUCGUCAGCUCGUGUCGUGAGAUGUUGGGUUAAGUCCCGCAACGAGCGCAACCCUUAUGGUCAGUUACUACGCAAGAGGACUCUGGCCAGACUGCCGUUGACAAAACGGAGGAAGGUGGGGAUGACGUCAAAUCAUCAUGCCCUUUAUGACUUGGGCUACACACGUACUACAAUGGCGUUAAACAAAGAGAAGCAAGACCGCGAGGUGGAGCAAAACUCAGAAACAACGUCCCAGUUCGGACUGCAGGCUGCAACUCGCCUGCACGAAGUCGGAAUUGCUAGUAAUCGUGGAUCAGCAUGCCACGGUGAAUACGUUCCCGGGCCUUGUACACACCGCCCGUCACACCAUGAGAGCCGGGGGGACCCGAAGUCGGUAGUCUAACCGCAAGGAGGACGCCGCCGAAGGUAAAACUGGUGAUUGGGGUGAAGUCGUAACAAGGUAGCCGUAGGAGAACCUGCGGCUG